GAUGAACGCUGGCGGCGUGCCUAAUACAUGCAAGUCGAGCGAACGGACGAGAAGCUUGCUUCUCUGAUGUUAGCGGCGGACGGGUGAGUAACACGUGGAUAACCUACCUAUAAGACUGGGAUAACUUCGGGAAACCGGAGCUAAUACCGGAUAAUAUUUUGAACCGCAUGGUUCAAAAGUGAAAGACGGUCUUGCUGUCACUUAUAGAUGGAUCCGCGCUGCAUUAGCUAGUUGGUAAGGUAACGGCUUACCAAGGCAACGAUGCAUAGCCGACCUGAGAGGGUGAUCGGCCACACUGGAACUGAGACACGGUCCAGACUCCUACGGGAGGCAGCAGUAGGGAAUCUUCCGCAAUGGGCGAAAGCCUGACGGAGCAACGCCGCGUGAGUGAUGAGGGUCUUCGGAUCGUAAAACUCUGUUAUUAGGGAAGAACAUAUGUGUAAGUAACUGUGCACAUCUUGACGGUACCUAAUCAGAAAGCCACGGCUAACUACGUGCCAGCAGCCGCGGUAAUACGUAGGUGGCAAGCGUUAUCCGGAAUUAUUGGGCGUAAAGCGCGCGUAGGCGGUUUUUUAAGUCUGAUGUGAAAGCCCACGGCUCAACCGUGGAGGGUCAUUGGAAACUGGAAAACUUGAGUGAAGAAGAGGAAAGUGGAAUUCCAUGUGUAGCGGUGAAAUGCGCAGAGAUAUGGAGGAACACCAGUGGCGAAGGCGACUUUCUGGUCUGUAACUGACGCUGAUGUGCGAAAGCGUGGGGAUCAAACAGGAUUAGAUACCCUGGUAGUCCACGCCGUAAACGAUGAGUGCUAAGUGUUAGGGGGUUUCCGCCCCUUAGUGCUGCAGCUAACGCAUUAAGCACUCCGCCUGGGGAGUACGACCGCAAGGUUGAAACUCAAAGGAAUUGACGGGGACCCGCACAAGCGGUGGAGCAUGUGGUUUAAUUCGAAGCAACGCGAAGAACCUUACCAAAUCUUGACAUCCUUUGACAACUCUAGAGAUAGAGCUUUCCCCUUCGGGGGACAAAGUGACAGGUGGUGCAUGGUUGUCGUCAGCUCGUGUCGUGAGAUGUUGGGUUAAGUCCCGCAACGAGCGCAACCCUUAAGCUUAGUUGCCAUCAUUAAGUUGGGCACUCUAAGUUGACUGCCGGUGACAAACCGGAGGAAGGUGGGGAUGACGUCAAAUCAUCAUGCCCCUUAUGAUUUGGGCUACACACGUGCUACAAUGGACAAUACAAAGGGCAGCGAAACCGCGAGGUCAAGCAAAUCCCAUAAAGUUGUUCUCAGUUCGGAUUGUAGUCUGCAACUCGACUACAUGAAGCUGGAAUCGCUAGUAAUCGUAGAUCAGCAUGCUACGGUGAAUACGUUCCCGGGUCU
rnacentral:rRNA from 1 species